rnacentral:rRNA from 1 species
GUCCACGCCGUAACGGUGGCGCUAGGUGUGGGACCCUUCCACGGUCUCCGUGCCGCAGCUAACGCAUUAAGCGCCCGCCUGGGAGUACGGCCGCAAGGCUAAACUCAAGGAAUUGACGGGCCCGCACAAGCGGCGGAGCAUGCGGCUUAAUUCGAUGCAACGCGAAGAACCUUACCUAGGCUUGACAGUUGGGAAAUCUGGCAGAGAUGCCAGGUCCGCAAGGGCCCCAAAACAGGUGGUGCAUGGCUGUCGU